rnacentral:misc_RNA from 1 species
UUUCCGUAGGUGAACCUGCGGAAGGAUCAUUAAAAAAUAUCACAUUUUGUAUGUGAUUUAGUAAUCAUCCUACCCUUUGUGAAUUUGUUUUGUCUUGAAAUUUAUGUUGUCUAUCCCUGGAUAUGAAAGAAAAGUCGUAAGAUUUUUUUUUUCAUUCUAGGGAAUAGGCUUUCAUAGACAUUUUUUUAAAUUAAACUUUUUGUAUUCAUCUGUCUAAAAUUUAUUUUUAAUAAUUUAAAAACAACUUUUGACAAUGGAUCUCUUCGUUCUCGCAACGAUGAAGAACGCAGCAAAAUGCGAUAAGUAAUGUGAAUUGCAGAAUACGUGAAUCAUCAAAUUUUCGAACGCAUAUUGCACUUUUUUAGUUUACUAAAAAAGUAUGUCUGUUUGAGUAUCAGUAAAAUAUUCUCAUAAAAACUAUUGUUUUUAUGGUUAUGAGUGUUUUACAACGAUAACAAGUUGUUUCACUUUAAAUUGAUUUUUUUAAUAAGCCAAUCUGGUUUUAUUUUUAAAAUUGGAUAAAAUUUUCCCGUAAAAAGGAAUAAACUUUUCAGUUUUAAAGUUAAAACUUAAAUUGACCUACAAAAAAGGAAAUUUAAUUAUAAAACUAACUUGAUCUCAAAUCGGAUAAGAGUACCCGCUGAACUUAAGCAUAUCAAUAAGCGGAGGAAAAGAAACUAACAAGGAUUCCCUUAGUAACGGCGAGUGAAGCGGGAAGAGCUCAAAUUUGAAAUCUUCAAGGUUCUACCUUGACGAAUUGUAGUUUAAAGAAGUGUUUUCUGUUAGUGGAGUGGCAAAAGUUCUUUGGAAUAGGACAUCAUAGAGGGUGAGAAUCCCGUAUUUGGUCAUUCCUUCUAGCUUUGUGAUACACUUUCAAAGAGUCGGAUUGUUUGGGAAUGCAGUCCAAAAUGGGUGGUAAAUUUCAUCUAAAGCUAAAUAUUGGCGAGAGACCGAUAGCGAACAAGUACCGUGAGGGAAAGAUGAAAAGAACUUUGAAAAGAGAGUUAAACAGUACGUGAAAUUGUCAAAAGGGAAGCGUUUGACACCAGUGUUGUUUUUCCGAAAAUCAAUUAUAGAUGUUUUGUUUCUGAGGAGUGAUGACUUCAUCGGCUUCCUUCUCUCUUCACGAAACUUUUGUAAUGCACUUUUCGGUUAACAAGUCAACAUCAAUUUCUUUUGUUGUAAAAGAGUAUUCGGAAGGUGGCUUUCUUUUCGGAGAAAGUGUUUAUAGCCCUAUACUUCUACAAUCGGAGAGAUUGAGGUCUGCAGCGUAGAUCCUUCGGGGUUAGAUACACUUGUGCUAAGUUAUAGCUUUUCAUAGACAACUUGUUGACUAUGUUUAGUCUUGUAGCUUACUCGCUUGUGCUAUUU